GUCUGCUGCAACUUCCUCUGCCUCCUGUAAUAGAACUCCACUUCUCCUCCAGCGCCCUGUGCAGAGUGGCUCACAUGAAAGAUCUCCGUUUCUUCCGAGGAUAAGCAUCUGUCUAUACCUUAGCCAGGGAUACGUCUGCACUGGCUCAGGAGCAUCCUUGUGGUGCCUGACAUUCAGAAGACGUGGAACAAACACAUGAGAAAGUGAGUCUGCAGGUACAACUGGAAGCUACCCAGCUGCUUCGUUCCCGGCCUGAGAAAGCCGCCCAGGAGCAAGGGGACAUCUGAGGCACACGAG
rnacentral:lncRNA from 1 species